UACGGAGGGUGCAAACGUUGCUCGGAAUUAUUGGGCGUAAAGCGCACGUAGGUGGCCGAAUAAGUCGGGUGUGAAAGCCCUGGGCUCAACCCAGGAAGUGCACUCGAAACUGCUCGGCUUGAGUAUGGAAGAGGGUUGCGGAAUUCCCGGUGUAGAGGUGAAAUUCGUAGAUAUCGGGAGGAACACCAGUGGCGAAGGCGGCAACCUGGGCCAAUACUGACGCUGAGGUGCGAAAGCGUGGGGAGCAAACAGG
rnacentral:rRNA from 1 species